rnacentral:tRNA from 1 species
GCUGGCGUAGCUCAACGGUAGAGCACCUGCUUUGUAACCAGGUGGCUGUGGGUUCGACUCCCACCGCCAGCU